rnacentral:lncRNA from 1 species
UGAAAAGCUGAUUGCUGUUGAAGUCAGUGUUUUGUUCUGAGAAACAUGAAACACUGGGAGCAGCUGAUCUGCUAGAGAGGGCAAUCUCUUGCACUAUAUUCUCCUGAGAUGAACCUAAGACUGGAGAAAGAGAUUAAAUAGCCCACAAGUCACCUUAGCCUGACCUUAGCCACUUGCUACAAUAAUGUGAACUGCUUUUGGAUUUUGCUGCCUGUUUUGAUAUCAAUCCUCCUUUGUGUUUUGACAGAUACUAUUGAAAAAGAGAACUACUUCUUGGCCAAAUACACAUUCAGCAAAGGAAGCCUGAAGACAGAAAUAGUUAAAAAUGGCUACCGUGGAGCUGACACUCUGAAGUACAACAAAAUUACCAUUCUUGGCCUGAAGCUGAGACCUCAAGCUGUGUCUCUGAAUGGAAGAUCCAUCCGUGGAGAUGCUGUGUCUUAUGAGAUGAGUGGGAAACUGGUGUUGCGGAUUUCUGCUCCACUUACCCAGGAACUCAACAUUAAGUUCUACUAGAAUGGUCAGAACACACUGACUUAAUUUAACACCCUUGACCCUCAGAUAUUGAUCUCACUUUAUUUUAAUGUGAAAAAAAUGCCAUUAAAACAUUUCAAAUGCACCUGAUGACUGAUCUUUUCUUAUGUGGUAUUUGUAACUCAGUAUUCCUCA